GACCUGCUGGUGGAAUGGCAACACACCUGUAAUAUCUGAUAUGUCUGGACUCUGUAUAGAGCAUAAUUUGGCAGGAGAUCCUCGUUCGAAUCGGGGUCAGGUCA